UACGAAGGGGGCUAGCGUUGCUCGGAAUUACUGGGCGUAAAGGGCGCGUAGGCGGAUAGUUUAGUCAGAGGUGAAAGCCCAGGGCUCAACCUUGGAACUGCCUUUGAUACUGGCUAUCUUGAGUUCGGGAGAGGUGAGUGGAAUGCCGAGUGUAGAGGUGAAAUUCGUAGAUAUUCGGCGGAACACCAGUGGCGAAGGCGACUCACUGGCCCGAUACUGACGCUGAGGUGCGAAAGUGUGGGGAUCAAGCAGG
rnacentral:rRNA from 1 species